GCUUCACUUCGUAGCUGAGCCAAUUAUCUGUGGAGAAGGCGAUUGCCAGCAGGGCAACAGCAAUGAUGGCGGAUAUCGUCGCGAGAGACAACGUAACUGCGCUGCAGGGCAUCUUGGUUUCGGAGGACUGCCUGCUUGGGCUUUUCUAGGGUACUUUCUCUACAACUACAGAGGCACACCGCGCUAGCCUGUCAGCUUCAGACGUUGCCGAUUGAUCUUCUCCGCUCAAAUGGGAUGCUGCCUGCUUUUGAUCACUGUUUUAUUCUGUACCAAUUACUGAUAUUUGCACACAUACACACCACUCUUACAGGACUGCACAAGAAUUAAAAUUCUUGGAACGCAAGAAAAAAAAACUAACCGCUCAUCAAACUCGUGGCACUGGACAGGAAUCGGUAAAUCGUCGUGAACCCCGAAAAGUCGGCCACACGUACCGUAAAUGUAUGAUAACACCCCUGUUGCACUAACAAAGAGGACGGUAUUCGGAACACACCGUAAGCUCGUUUCCUCCCACUCUUUCUGGGCCUCCCAAACACGUUCAAACGCGGACACUUCGCAAGCUUCAAACCGACAUCUUCAAUGAAUAAGGCUCAACUAAACCCACGGUUCGCUACGGGAUCAGGCAAACCCCCCCGGAUCUCGUCAAUCCGCGAUCACUGACACGCACACACGUCCGUCAGUUCGUUUCGUACAAAUUAAGACAUUCGUCAAGAAAAUCGGAAAAUAAUUCACCACUGGUCUUAUGCGGCAGAAACUCACCACUCGACUUAUACAUAUAUACAGGGUUUGUUUUGAACUUUACUUUUGCGCUUUGCGUCGCACGAUGUCUGGCCCUCCUCACAUCAUUGUCUUAUCGUGCCUUCGGUUGAACUGGUUCUCAUUCAAAAUUCAAACCAAACACUUGCAACGUCGUCGUUCGUCGGUAGAGUAGAUCCCAUCCGCACCUAUACCGGGUAAGCUGGUCUCUGGACGACGGAACAGGUAUGCAUAGAAAUGAAGUAAAACUGGAAUGGAGGAGAGAAACAAAAAUGUUAUUCGUGAAGCGAUAAUUCGACACUAACAUGAGCAAACGUUUGGAAGUGAAAUUUCACCGUCAAAGUGCAAUACCUACCUAUGUUGUAGACGAUGACAACAAGAACACACGACCUGAUAUGCUCUUAUCACUGUUGAAAUGUUUGCAAUACAAUGACUUGUAGGUGUUUCGAAAAAACUAGGCAAAGACAACCGUUUUGAUUAUCCUUGGUUGCAUUCGAAGGAUUACCAUAACUUAUUUUUAUCAAAUAUUACUGGUCCUAUUUGUUGUUAUUUAGCUACAUUUAUGUUUUCUAUAUUGGAGCGCAUUUUAGAAGUACGAGAAAUGAACAUAUAACGAAAAGUGGUUACGUUUUGCACGCCAUUUGUCAAUGAAUUUUAGUGACAUUUGCAUCAAUCAAUCGGAAAUUAUUCUAAGAAUCGAUAACUAUAGCAAAUAUAAUAGAAAUUUGUCAAUCCACUAUUGAAACAAGCUUAAAUAUCGAUCACUAUCAUGAAUUAACGGAUCAACUAAUCACAUGCAAGCAUUAUUUUGCUUCCGAGGCCCACGACGGCUACUUUAUACACUAGCGAAUUCAACUUUUACCUUGAAAAAAAGACGACAAAGUCUGAACAUGAACACCCAGGUAACCAAUAAGCAUUAAAAUAAGCAGUAAAUCAGCCGUUUAUUAGCAUCCCUGGCGUUUUAUACUGCAGGUUGUUGUUUAUCAGCUUUUUGACUGCAUAACUGUUGUAAAUUGGCAGCCACAAUUCUAUUUAAAUUCUUCUUGUUGGUACCUAGCUGCAAAUAAGCAUUGUCAGCACUAUAAGGAGGCUAGCAGUAAAGUAGCCGCAUAUUUUGCCAAAAUAGCAUUUAAGUAGCAUUUAAGGCAACUUAAAUGCUUAUUGGCUUGCUUUUAAAUUGCAUUGGAAAUGCUUAUUGGUUACCUGGGCAGUUAAAGGUUUAUUUGUUUCGAUUAGACCAGGACCAAGUUGACGUCCUGAAAGUAAAUAAUUUUGUGAAAGUAUAAAACUACCCCCUCACUUCAAUCAAUUUUUUCAUUCGAGCAUUGAAGCUAGACCAAAUUGAUGUCUUGAACGUAAAAAGAGUUUGUAGAAAAGAGUAACCAUCCAAAUCCAUUCCUCUCAACCGAUCUCAUCGAAAAUUGUAAGAAUAUACUCCAAACUGAAGUCUUAUAUGAAAACGAGGAAUAUUCAUGCAUGUGAUGUGUCGCAGCAAUUUUCAACGUAAAAAAUCGAAGAAUCACUCAAACAGAUGUGUCAGUUAGUUGCUUGUAAUUCUUUACAUACUUUUUGUAUGCAAAACGCCAAAAAAUCUUCUCACCUACAGAGGACAUUAGUUAAUUAAUGAUCUGUUAACUGAUAUUCCAUGUGUUAGUUAAUAAAAAUACCUUAAAUCAUUGUGUUGUAAUGAAAGGUGGUCUUUGUUAUUUUCGACGAAAUUUAAGAAUGCGAAUCAGUGUUGUAAAUGAUUAACUCUAGUAUUUUUAAUUUAAGGGUCAAGUUGUAGUUUUUAUGCUCAAAACACAAGAUAUCUUCACGAAAAUUUUCAUUGUGCUGUUUGGUCUGUUGGUUGGUUUGAACCUUACUCAAAAGUUAUGCGUCCAAAACUUUUGACUCUAAUGACAAUUCCUUAAGCCAGUUAAGAAAUACCGUUCGUCAACUGCAGUAUGUAUGCAUUGGUGGAACUGGAAACUUACUACUGAUUAUAUGAUUAGUUUAAUUUUUUGCACAGAAGUGUCAAUGGACACGUAAAAGCUAUACAAUUUUGUGAAGAAAACAGCCACGGGAUGUAACCCAAAGAACCGAGUGCCAGUUCCAU